GGUGACUCAAUGAUAUAGAGUGCUUGCCUUGCAUGCAUGAGGCCCUGGGUUCGAUUUCUCAGCACCA
rnacentral:tRNA from 1 species